UUCCGUAGGUGACCUGCGGAGGGAUCAUUACCGAGUUUACAACUCCCAAACCCCUGUGAACAUACCUAUCGUUGCCUCGGCGGUGCCCGCUCCGGCGGCCCGCCAGAGGACCCCAAACUCUUGUUUUAUACAGUAUCUUCUGAGUAACACGAUUAAAUAAAUCAAAACUUUCAACAACGGAUCUCUUGGUUCUGGCAUCGAUGAAGAACGCAGCGAAAUGCGAUAAGUAAUGUGAAUUGCAGAAUUCAGUGAAUCAUCGAAUCUUUGAACGCACAUUGCGCCCGCCAGUAUUCUGGCGGGCAUGCCUGUUCGAGCGUCAUUUCAACCCUCAAGCCCCCGGGCUUGGUGUUGGGGAUCGGCGUGCCCUCGCGGCGCGCCGUCCCCGAAAUCUAGUGGCGGUCUCGCUGUAGCUUCCUCUGCGUAGUAGCACACCUCGCACUGGAAAGCAGCGCGGCCACGCCGUUAAACCCCCCACUUCUGAAAGGUUGACCUCGGAUCAGGUAGGAAUACCCGCUGAACUUAAGCAUAUCAAAAGGCGGAGGAA
rnacentral:rRNA from 1 species